rnacentral:sRNA from 1 species
UUUCUUCUUCUUUUUUUUCCUUCUUUUUUCAGUUUUAUUUAACCGACACU